rnacentral:rRNA from 1 species
UACGUAGGGUGCGAGCGUUAAUCGGGAUUACUGGGCGUAAAGCGUGCGCAGGCGGUUAUGCAAGACAGAUGUGAAAUCCCCGGGCUCAACCUGGGAACUGCAUUUGUGACUGCAUGGCUAGAGUACGGUAGAGGGGGAUGGAAUUCCGCGUGUAGCAGUGAAAUGCGUAGAUAUGCGGAGGAACACCGAUGGCGAAGGCAAUCCCCUGGACCUGUACUGACGCUCAUGCACGAAAGCGUGGGGAGCAAACAGG